rnacentral:rRNA from 1 species
GACGAACGCUGGCGGCGUGCUUAACACAUGCAAGUCGAACGGAAAGGCGCUGCUUUUGUGGGGUGCUCGAGUGGCGAACGGGUGAGUAACACGUGAGUAACCUGCCCUUGACUUUGGGAUAACUUCAGGAAAAUGGGGCUCAUACCGGAGAGGAGAUCCUGCUGCAUGUGGGGGGUUGGAGAGUUUCGGCGGUUGGGGAUGGACUAGCGGCUUAUCAGCUUCAUGGUGGGGUAGUGGCUUACCCGGGCUUUGACGGGUAGCCGGCCUGGGAGAGUGACCGGCCACAUUGGUACUGAGAUACGGCGCAGACUGCUACGGGAGGCAGCAGUCGGGAGUAUGGCACAAUGGGCGGACGCCUGAGGUAGCAACGUCGCGUGCGGGAUGACGGCUUUCGGGUGGUAAACCGCUGUCGCCUUUGACGAAGAGUGAGUGACGGUAAUGGGUAAAGAAGCAACGGCUAACUACGUG